GAGUCGAGCAGUGGUAGAGCACUCGCUUCGUAAGCGAAAGGUCGGUGGUUCGAUCCCGCCUGGGGCUCU
rnacentral:tRNA from 1 species